GAACGCUGGCGGCAUGCCUUACACAUGCAAGUCGAACGGCAGCACGGGAGCAAUCCUGGUGGCGAGUGGCGAACGGGUGAGUAAUAUAUCGGAACGUGCCCAGUCGUGGGGGAUAACGUAGCGAAAGCUACGCUAAUACCGCAUACGAUCUACGGAUGAAAGCGGGGGAUCGCAAGACCUCGCGCGAUUGGAGCGGCCGAUAUCAGAUUAGGUAGUUGGUGAGGUAAAGGCUCACCAAGCCGACGAUCUGUAGCUGGUCUGAGAGGACGACCAGCCACACUGGGACUGAGACACGGCCCAGACUCCUACGGGAGGCAGCAGUGGGGAAUUUUGGACAAUGGGCGCAAGCCUGAUCCAGCAAUGCCGCGUGCAGGAUGAAGGCCUUCGGGUUGUAAACUGCUUUUGUACGGAACGAAACGGUGAGCUCUAAUACAGUUUGCUAAUGACGGUACCGUAAGAAUAAGCACCGGCUAACUACGUG
rnacentral:rRNA from 1 species